ACUAGUCACUAUGUUGAGACUAUACCUCUUACACUUUUUCAUUUACUUCCUAUUUCUUCCACCUUAUUCAUGCUCGUUUGAUAUGAGAAGAGGACAUGAGAAAGUAUCACCACAGCUUAGCCUUCACCGCACUGCAGUUUGCGUUCGCCGUUCUCCAUUUUCCGUUCGCUUUUGCCGUUUAUCGAUUGCCGUUCGCCGUUCGCCGUCCCCCUCGUCCUUCUCUUCCCCUCUUUCACGAGGCAACCAAAACUUUCAUGGAUUUCGAAUCAAUCACUCAGGUCAUCGACGAGUAUGAGGGUUCCAAAGAAGGUGCUGUAGUUCGCUGGUAUUGAGGAUGUGUUUACUUCAUCAAGAGGAUCCACUAAGACACUGAAAUUUCGACAAGGUUUCAAAUUCUGUUCAGAUUAAUUUUUUUCUUCUAGAUUGUUUAAUUUUAUAAUCUCCCAUUGAUGUAUUUAUUCUAAGUAUUGAAAAAGCAAGAAUAGCAUUAUGCUGAAUCUUUUAAUUAUAAGUACCAGUGGGUGAGCAAUGCAGCCGAGGAGACCGUGAGCCUUGCAUUUUACAUGGUGAUGUUCUAUAUGUUUAGGCCUGUGGAGAAGAAUGAGUACUUUGUGCUUGAUGAUGAGGAGGAAGAGGCUGCCGAAAUGGCCCUUAGGGAAGAGAAAUUUGAGCUUUGAAUAGGGAAACUCAAUUUGGUUGGCUCUUCUUUUGGUUUUGGUUUAACAGUUGAACCUCUCUAUGCCACAGAUUUCAAGACAUUCGGUGAAGCUCUUGUGGUUCAGGGACGAGAUUUCUUGGUUAAAAGUUUUAGGGAAAUUGAGGGUCUUAAAAUAUCAGAACCCCAGGGGGCAUUUUAUCUAUUCAUUGAUUUCAACUACUACUAUGGAAAAGAAGCUGAAGGAUUUGGUAGAAUUGAUGAUUCGGAGUCCCUUUGUCGAUAUCUUCUGGAUAAGGGCCAUGUAAACUCUUUUAAUGGCCUUUAUUGUUUAUUUGAGGAACAUAUUUAAGGGUCAGUCUCCGUCACUGCCUCUGAACUCUCUCGCCUUUGUAUUUGGCAUGGUUAGGAGAAGGGAGCAUUGAUUGCCCUUGGAUAGAAACAAGGCUGCUAAAAGAGAGUGAAUCCGGUGAAACACUAUCAGCUGCAACGUGGGAGAUACUUUACUUGCUGGAAGUUGAAACUACCUUUUAUGUCCAUUGGAUUGUGUUUUGCCGACUUCAAGUUUGUUUGUUCUCAUUUUCAUCUUUUCCCCUACUUUAGUCCCCUUUUGUGAAGCAGAAUUUAACAGUGUAUGAAGAGAAGAAGGCUAAUAAAGAAGUAUCAAAGUCCUAAAAAAUUUCUCAAAAUUGUUGAAGAUGCUAAAUUAGUGUUAUUCCCUAAUGCAAGAGGAAAUG